AAAAAAAAAAAAGAAGGAAUGUAAGUGUGUAGGCGAAUGAGGUUCAUAGGUAGAUUCUACAUCGUACGGGUAUCGAAUGAAGCGGAUGGACCAAGUAUGUAGCGGGGAAGUGAAUCGUGGCACGAAGGACGAGCGAGAGUGAAGAAGGGAAGUGAAAAAGGAGGCUGCAAAACGAGUUGGAGGUGAGAUGAGCUUUAUUGUCAAGUCACGCGGGCAUCGUGGCCUAUCUCUAUCUACCGUCGUCACCCCUUGUGCCGGCUUUCCUCUAUGACACCCCCUUACCGAGUGACGUGGACGCUACUGCCUCUUCCAUCAGUGGUCGUAUGUAAUGUGAGAUAAUAUGCCGCGAUCGAAGAAUUGCAAAUCGUUUUGAUCGCAACACGGUUCGAGUUGUGUCGACACUCGGAGGCCCGAUCCGAGAUUCGGUCGGAAACAAUACGACGAGCGAUUUGUGCUGGCGAUAGGUGAAGCCGGGGUGGGGAGAGGACUGCAUGAAUUUCAAUCGACAUCUUAUCUAGUACACGAGCGAGCUUCGAGUGCCGGUGGAUCGUGAUCAAGUGGACCUCCAUGGCGAGGACAAUACACGCUGCGCCCGACAAGUGACAAUACGCUAUCAGGGUCGUUCGAGGCGUAUUGCUCUUUUGUCCGAACUACUAUACCUGCCAUACGUACUUGAACAAGUUCAUGGAAAGUGUGAGGACUGACCCGGCCAUGGAUUACCAGUGAAGAUUGCCUGGAAGAAAUAUUUGACGAAAGAAGAUUUCAUCGAUGGUGAAUUUUGUAAUUUAAAUAAUCAAGAUAUAGAAAUUUUUCGGAGAAUAAAAAUUGAAAAUUGUGAAAGGAAGAACAUCAAAGAAGAAAUAUUAUUGAAGAGUAUUAAUAGAGAAAGAUAUAUUCUCUUGCUAGAGAAGAAUAACAAUCCCUCGAAUUCUCACUCCUCUGCAAGAUCAUUAUGGAAGCAAUUAAGUAAUGCACCUUGGGGAACCAAAUCCCUGCAGAAUCGAAGCAAAACGAAAACAUUGGAAGAUAAACGGGGAUCGAUAAAAAAUCGUCCAACAUCUAUUGAUUAAUUAUCUACCUCUCCAUUUCUUACAUUAAAAUAUAAUCGAUGGAAUUGUGAAAGACGAUCUACGUGCCAAGAAGGAAACAAAAAUACCAAGAGAAAUAGAGAAAGAAUAAAAAAAAAAAGAAGAAACGAAUGAGUGUCGCUAUGGAGAAAAUAGCCGAAGGAGAUCGAAUCGCUUGGCGAUUCGCGAGCGACUCAUACCCAACACUACCAUUCGUUUACGCGCUCUAAUUCGUUUCUCGUUAAUAACUCGUUAACUAAACCGAAACGAAAAUUUUCGCAAAGGAAAAAAUUGAUCGAAAUCACCUCGACAAUUGCAUCAUUAAGCUUGAAUAUUUGGAACGUUUUGCACAUACACCGAGAAAAGAAUAGAACAAUGCAGUAAUCCUCCAUUCGGAUACACCGAUCUCUACCGAUCUGUAGCUGCAGAAUUCGAAUUCUCACGAAGACGCACACGCCGGCAAUAACUACCAGCGCACGAUUUACGAUCCUCCACGACUAUAAACAAUGGGUAAACGCCAGGUUAUUACAUCAAGAAGAGUAGUAGGGGAUGAGAAACGCCCGGACCAGGGAUGGAAUUGCCGCAUCCGAGAGGUGUGUCCACCUUGCCGGGCUGGACAUAUUUCCUGGCUUGUUUCACCGUACAGUGCACGAGAUCGACGAUGAUACUACUUUUUUUAACUGCGAGUAUUUAUAAAAUUUUAAGAGAGAAUAUUUUCAAGAAUUAUUCUUGUUUUUGAACGAAUGAAUACUACGUUGAGACUAAUUGAGAU
rnacentral:lncRNA from 11 species